AUGAUGGACUGCAGGGCAGGACUGCUGCUUUUAAUGCUCUGCUGGGCAGGUGUUGAUGGUCAGACUCUGACAGAAUCUGAAUCAGUGGUUAAACGGCCUGGAGAGUCCCACACACUGACCUGCACAGCCUCUGGAUUCACAUUCAGUAGCUACUGGAUGCAUUGGGUGAGACAGACUCCUGGAAAAGGACUGGAGUGGGUUGCUGCUCUUGAUACUGGUAGUGGUAGCAACAAGUACUACUCUCAGUCAGUUCAAGGCCGAUUUACCAUCUCCAGAGACAACAACAGACAGCAGCUGUAUCUGCAGAUGAACAGCCUGAAGACUGAAGAUUCUGCUGUUUAUUAUUGUGCUCGAGACUCACAGUGA